GUGCUAACUUUGGCAGCCCACAUACUAAAAUUGGAAUGAUACAGAGAAGAUUAACAUGAUCACUGUGCAAGGAUGACAUGCAAAUUCAUGAAGCAUUACCUAUUAAA
ensembl:snRNA U6 U6 spliceosomal RNA